rnacentral:pre_miRNA from 1 species
UCUGGGAUGAGACAUUGUUAUAGUAGAAUUUUAAUUACGAUAGCAUGUCGCAUUCCAACGC